rnacentral:rRNA from 1 species
GCGGCGGACGGGUGAGUAACACGUGGGCAACCUACCUGUAAGACUGGGAUAACUUACGGAAACGUGAGCUAAUACCGGAUAGUUUCACUUCUCGCAUGAGAAGUGAAGGAAAGAUGGCUUUUAGCUAUCACUUACAGAUGGGCCCGCGGCGCAUUAGCUAGUUGGUGGGGUAAAGGCCUACCAAGGCGACGAUGCGUAGCCGACCUGAGAGGGUGAUCGGCCACACUGGGACUGAGACACGGCCCAG